UAGGAAAAGAAGAAGGGGACAGUUGGGUUUAGGAAAAGCAGAACGGGACAGUUGGGUUUAGGAAAAGAAGAACGGGACAGUUGGGUUUAGGAAAAGAAGAACGGGACAGUUGGGUUUAGGAAAAGAAGAACGGGACAGUUGGGUUUAGGAGAAGAAGAAAGAGAGUUGGGUUUAGGAAAAAAGAAAGAGAGAGUUGGGUUUAGGAAAAAAGAACGGGAGAGUUGGGUUUAGGAAAAGAAGGUGGGUGGAGUUAUAAAAUGAACUCCUGUGUUGUUUGAAUCGUUGCCCCCCAGCCAGCCUCCCUAUGUGGAACUUCGCCCUUUCAUACCCCUCCUUUCCAUUUUCGCUCUUAUUACUACGUCAUCUCCACGCGUCGCGGGGCAGCUGCUCUGCGUUCCACACACACGCCGAGGGGUCCUUAUUGCGUCGUAUCCGGUGCUGAGAGCCAACGACCGAGCGUCCGUAUUUUCCGAGUUGCGAGUGAGAAUAACACGGCUCUGGAACCAAUGAUGCAGGGUCACAGAUUUGAGUCUAACUCUGAUCUAGGUGCUUUGGCUGCUGUGAUCUUUGUGUUUGUGUUGUUUGUUUGUUUGGUCCUGAUGUGUGUGGAUAAAUGUACUGUUUGUGUGUCUGUGUGUUAUGUGUCUGUGUUGUAAGUCUGCUGUUUGUGCCUCUCUGCAGCUCACACAUUCACAGACUGUUUUCCAAUGUGUGUGACUGGAGGGAUUUUGGACACACACAACCUUUGUCUGUAUGCUUUGCUGUUUCCGUGGCAGCCGGGGACUGAGAUACUACUCCGUUUUAAGUGAUACCCACAAAAUGUUUUGGGGUUGGGACGACUCUGUCAAUGAGUUUUGGGAGAGUAACCUCAGCUGUGGUGUCUGUGAUAUGAUGGAAAUGAACUGAGCUGGUGACAUUGUGGCUUCAGUGUGAAUAUUCAGGCUUUUUAUUGUUUCUCUGUGCCACACCAGUUACGCCCCCCCCCCCCCCCCCCCCCCCCCCCCCCCCCCCCAACUGUUUUUGUUUCACUUGUGUUUGUACGUACCAGAUAUAAUAUUGUUAAAUAAAAUAUUCAUCAUGUAACAAGACAUGGUGUGAAUGUGCA